UACCAGUCUCUAAAGAAAGGAACAAGACAUCCUGGCAGAUACUGUGGAUUCUAGGGCUGGGCAGGGCAUAUAGAAGAAGAGCCUGGCAUGUCUCAUAGUGCCAGAAUGAACAGAGCUGGGACCAGCGAGGUGAAGGGUCUCACUGAGGUCAUUCAACUACAAAAUGCCAGAGCAGGAGUGGAGGCCAAGUCCCCAGGCUCCAAUUCAUGACCUCAAGGUGAAAAGAUCUCCCGAGA
rnacentral:lncRNA from 10 species